rnacentral:rRNA from 1 species
AAUAAGCGGGGGGCAAGUCUGGUGUCAGCCGCCUCGGUAAUACCAGCCCCGCGAGUGGUCGGGACUUUUAUUGGGCCUAAAGCGUCCGUAGCCGGCCCGGUAAGUCCCCCCUUAAAGCCCACGGCUCAACCGUGGGAGCGGGGGGAUACUGCCGGGCUAGGGGGCGGGAGAGGCCGGGGGUACUCCCGGGGUAGGGGCGAAAUCCGUUAA